rnacentral:rRNA from 1 species
GUGAGGAAUCUUCCGCAAUGGACGAAAGUCUGACGGAGCAACACCGCGUGCAGGAUGACGGCUUUCGGGUUGUAAACUGCUUUUAUAUGGGAAGAUUAUGACGGUACCAUAUGAAUAAGGACCGGCUAACUACGUGCCAGCAGCCGCGGUAAUACGUAGGGUCCAAGCGUUAUCCGGAAUUACUGGGCGUAAAGCGUACGUAGGCGGCGCGUUAAGUGCAAUGCGAAAUCUUGUGGCUCAACCAUAUAGACUGUGUUGCAUACUGGCGUGCUCGAGGAUGGCAGAGGCAAGUGGAAUUUGUAGUGUAGCAGUGAAAUGCGUAGAUAUUACAAGGAACACCAAUGGCGAAGGCAGCUUGCUGGGCCAUAUCUGACGCUGAGGUACGAAAGCGUGGGGAGCGAACAGGAUUAGAUACCCGGGUAGUCC